rnacentral:lncRNA from 1 species
GUAUGGUGGUGACGUGGUGGGGACGCGUGGCCGGGGCGGGAGGUACGGUGGCGGCUGGAAACUUAGGCUACUGUUUAGGGUUUUUGUGUUUGUUGAGUUUAAGUGUUGGGCUAAUUGGGAUAGGGUUAAUUUGGGUUAUUGGGUUUUAAUUUGUAUUUGGGUCGGUAAUUUGUUUUUUUUGUAAUUGGACUGUUUGGGUUUUGGACAUUUGGUUGUUUUCUUGGUUUGGGCCCAGACCAAAAUUGGCCUAUUA